rnacentral:tRNA from 1 species
CAUUACACUUUAAAGACUUGAUUUCGACUUAAGUUAAGAUCUAUUAA